rnacentral:lncRNA from 1 species
CAUUUAUAGAAGGACCAAGGGCUGCAGCUUGUCCUGCAGUCCUGACAGAGAUCAAGCUGUUACAAGGAAAAUGAAUCCAUGAAGCAGAGACAAGCAGAAGAGUCCAAGGUUGCAGUCAGGGAAUUGCUGG